GUUUUGAACGCCGCAGACUCCGCCCCCUCCGUGACGUCACUCCGCCUGAUAAACUGAAAUGUGUUAGUGGGUCAGACAUACGGGACCCCGCACACAAAAUGGUCGGGCUCUCGCUGGAAAUGGAAGGUUUUUGCUGCACCCGAUGGGAUCCUACAUGAACAUAAUAUUUGAAGAGUUUUGAGUGUUUCAGCACCCUACUGUGGUUGGCUCUCAGAUGUCAGAUUUCACCCCUGCCUGCCUUGAAAAGCUUUCGUUGAGAAUUUCCAGAGGGGGAGACUUCACAAGUUCACAUCAUUCAGGUUAGAGAAGAAAGAAAGUGGUGAAGAGAUGGGAGCAGGAUGUGCAGCCCGUAGCUGGACCAUCAUCAUCAAAGUGGGUCUGAAUAGUACAAAAACACAGCGUUCCUUUCUCUCUGCCUUCAUGUCAUUAUUAAAGGUUGUAGGCUGAACACCGAGAUAAUAACAUUGAGGCUGGCUCAAUCAAUUUCAUGGUUUGUUUAAUGGAAAAGUGGCAGGUUGUCCGAUUAAAUUGUGGAGUCAGUGUGUCUGAUGUGGCAUAAUGGAUGGAGAUAAACAGUGGAAGGUUAAAUCACUGAGCCACAUGUCUUAUUAAAUCCUGAGCAACAGGGAUCUGAAACACAUUUAAAUCCCUCCAUAAGACAGGCAAGUCAUCAGUGAGAACUCUCCUUCUUCUUUGUUUUGUUCAUUUGAUUGCCUUUCACAAGAAAAGUAAAUGAAAGCAAGUUGGAGAGCAGCAACAGCUUUUCUAAAUGCAAUAAUACAAAAUUUCAAAUCAGAAGUGUCUUGAUCGAUGUAGUUUCAUGUUGUGGGUAACCAAACAUUUGUACUCUUUGAUAUAUAAAUCACUAAAUGCCUUAAAUAAGUGGCUCGCAGUUUCAUGUUAUACUACCAAUUGUAUGCAGUGUGGGCUCUGUGCAUGAUGAUGCAUAUAUUUUCCAGUCUAUUACUCUUAUUCCUUUUUAUCAGAGCUCACUUUCUCCUUUUCACGGAGCUGAGAAAGUGUCACAUUUUCCUUUCUGGGGGGAAAACGUUGAACAGGUGACUCUUCCUUGAAUAUGCUGUAACAGGGAGCAGUUUUGAUCUGGUGUCGUCCUGGUCAGGCACCAGGCAGGAGGAGCAUCAAGCAUGAUGCUGUGGUAAUUUCUUUAGUCAACAGGGGGCAGUGUGGUCACACAGGAGCUGGGCUGCUGUCACUACCCUCUGCACAAAAGCGCUCGAGUACAAAGAGGGGAAAAUAUUAUAUAAUAAAAUCAUUGUGGACGCAGAGCAGCAGUCGCCGAGGAAUUUCU